UAGUAGGUUUAAAGGACUCAGUAAUUAACUGGUACAUUUGGAGGCAUGGCAUGCAGGAUACUUGCUGCAACCUACUUUAUUACAGUGUCAGAGGGAAGUGCUGUGAAAUGGGCAAGAACUUUAAAAGAACACCGUUUAUUUCUCAGGCAGUAUCAGACAGCAGGAUUAUUUCAUUAUGAAGUUAAUCCAGAGCAUUUGCUGAGCAAGUGAGGACAAGUGUGCAAAUACCUUUCUCGAAAGCAAAGUGCAGCUGUGGAUAUCAACAUCUUGACCCACAAAGGACAACUUUGGGCUUGCAGUGGCAGAAGGCUCAAGCUAAAUUAGCAGAGUGGUUAUUUAACCCACCCUUGAUGCUCUUCCAGAAAGUUACCUGAAGCCUUUAAAACUUUCCACAUUAUGACCAACACAAUAGCCACAUGAAGAGCUACUAAAAACUUCCUGUGAAAGAAGGUAAUGAGAAAACUGUAGUGUCUGGGAAAACCAAAACAAACAAAUGAACUAACAGACCCCAGCCUUCCCGGGAACUUGAGUUGAACUUGAACUCCAUGAGUCUUUGUCACCAGUUACAGUUCCAGAAUACAGGGCAGGAAUGGGAGGAGGUGAGACUGAAGCUAGAGGUAUUUGAAAGCAUAUUGCUUUAAAUCUUUGCACGUUGAAAAAGAGAAGAAAUACCACCCCGGGUUCAUCUCUAGACUAGAGUGGGUUCAACUAUACUCCAAGAAUUCCCUCCCACAGGAGUGUAAUGCAGAAGCUCAGAAGAAACCCACCCUGAAGAACAGUUUGAGAUUUUUUAACCUUGCAGACACUCAGUGGUGGGAAGGUUGCUACGUACCAUCCUGUACCAUACAUCCGCUACUGGGAUGCUAUUCCCAGUCAGGAACAUUGCAAGCUCUUUGUUGGUCAUAUUAAAGCUGCUUUGGAGACCAACACUCUGUAUGACACAUUUGCUUAAGAGAGUUGUGUUCAUGCAGUCUGAGCACAGGACCAGAUGCCAUGCAGUCCAUGCAGGGGACCAUUUUGGGUUCUGGCACUCAUUUCCUAUAUACACUUUGAUCAAGUUAUUUGCAGUUUCUCCCAGUUUCAUCAGAUGUAGAAUUGCAUUUGUGAUGUGUGCUGACAACUCUUUGUCCUCUGUGGAGGGGAUGAGAUGUUUUGUUCAAUCUCUUAAAUAAAAAACACCAUGAACAGGAGGAUAUAGGGCUGAAAUAUGUUUCUUAAAGAAUAUAAUCAAGCUGAUCUAGAUCUGAAUCUGAGGAGAAACUUCUUUUGGCAGUAAUUCUACUUAAUCUAUAAAUAGCUCUUUAGAUUGCCAGAUAAUCUUUGUAAUUUAUAACCCUGUUGGCCUGAACAAGAAACAAAAUGUAGUCUUCAGAAUGGAAGAGAAUAAAAUAAAAUGUCAAUGUAACUGACAUGACCUUAGACCCAGGUGGUGAUUUCUGCUUUAUGAUCCACCAAACUAGUUUACCAUGUGGUCAAAAUUUCAUUAAACAUUUCUGCAGUCCUCAUGUGUACAGUAAGCCAUUCUUCUUCCAAGGGAAGCAGCUCAUCCUUUGGAGAUGUUUGUAUUGCUAUAACCAUGGCAACCAGGAAAGAUGAAAGUCAGAAUACAAAGAAAAAACCAAAACCAUUAGCUGAAGUAUGGAUAGGCAGUGAGACUGUAAAACCAUGCAUGGACUUUUAAAGGAAAUGACUGUUCUGUAUUAAAGAAACAUAGCAGAAUUACAGGUCAUCAUCAUCAUCAUCAUCAUCAUCACCAUGGCCAGGCUUCGCGAACGAAGAUUUGGGAAAGGCUCUACCCACGUUUGUUACAAGCGCGCUGGUGGCUAAAAAAGCCAAUAUGAGAUAGACAUGUCCGAUUGCAAAAGGCACAGCAGAAAGAUUCCUUAGGUGGUAUAUUCUGCAAGGCACGAUUCUUUCUGCAUUAUGUUUUCUCCUCAAGAGUGAUCCUGCUGCGUUCUCAAAAGCAUCAGUAGCGUUAGUGUCUCUCCAGACCUCCCGAUUGGAGGCCAGAGUAGACCAGUUAUGUUGAUCAAUAUGACCAAAUUACAGGUACCAUAGUCCAAAAAUAGCACUCCUGGCUUCACUAAGUACAAUGGCUCUUAUAAACCCCAUUAGAACAGAUAUCAGGAAUGGAGGAUUGUCCCUCUGACAGGAGGGAGAAUCCAUGUUCCAUCCUGCUUCAAAGGGGAAUGUGUCCCACAGCACAGACUGCUUCCAAGCAAGAACAUUUGUGGUCCCACUUUUGACAUGGGUUUUAUGAAACAGAGCUAUGAUCACCUGUGAUGCUCGCUCUGCCUGAGUGGGGCCAUGAAAAUGAGACUUCAAAUAAACCCUAAAACCUGGGCCCCAAAUAAGACACUUUGGAUCCUAUUCCAGUAGACUUGGUUGAGACUCAUUGUCUAACUCAGCUUGAAAGAACUUCCUUGGUCAGCUAGGAUUUGGUGUCAUCCUACACUAAGAGUACCUUUGCCCAGAUGCUUAAAUUGGUAGAACAAAUCCAUAAAAUUCCAUAAAAAUUAUUUUCAGGAGAAUGGAUAAACCUAUAUUUUCCACAGACUAGAAGUCUGGUUAUUGAAAAGUAGCUAGAAAAGCUACACAUUUCCAACAGCUAUAUUCCCGCAAGGCAUAGUUUGGCCUUAGAUUUGAACUAUGAGUCUCUGUCUAAAAUUAAACUAAGUCUGGCUCAAAACAUUGCCUUCUCACUUGUUCCUAAGUUCCACCACAAAUGAGUCUGGCAGAAAAGGUAAUUUGAAGACAGUUCUGAAAUCCAUUUGCAAACCUCAGCGUAGGCAAAUAUUACCUCUUUUACCAUCCUGUUUGAGGGAAGAAGAUUUGCUUAAAUCAGUCUAAAAUAUUGCUUCAUCUCAUAAAGGGAAGACUGUGCAACACAGGCUGCUUUACUACUAAACAGAAAAUUCAGUGAGAUUCUUCCAGGUCCUCCUCUUUACUUAUUUGUCAUAGGCUAAUAAAGAGAGGGUUUUUUCCCUUGGAGAAUUUAGGGAUUAGAUAAACAAAGCACAACGCCACUGAGUCAGAUGAGGACUUGCUUGUUAAAUAUUAACAAGCACUCAGCCUUUUCAAGUGUCUGCUUACCGAUACCUCUGCUACAGGCUUCAGGGUUUGUUUUUGCAAGUUUUUUGCACAUUACAUUAAGCAAGCCUGUUUGUGUGUGAACACUAGAGUCAGACUCCUUUGGCUCUCUCCUGGUACCUGAUGGAAGCAAAUGGGGCUUGUCAAACUCCAAAGGUCCUGACAACUCCCGUAAAGUCAUGUACUUGUCCAGAAGACUGGGAAUGAUGAUGAGUUUGAAAAGGAAUCCAGAGAUAGCCUGUGAAUUCCCCUGUCCACGGCUGAACAAGGGAAGCUCUUGAUUUAGAAGCCACUAGCAACUCAUCAGAAGCUUUCUGAGUGAUGGUCAACCUUCACUUCAGAGGCAUGGCUGCUGAUUUAAUACUCUAGCUGGAGACUAUCUCCGCAUUUGGGAACAGCCAAGAAGAAGCACAGUUCCUGGUCAGACACUGGUUUCCCAUCCUGAGACAUACAGACAGUUGGUCAGGUCUCCUGCCACCACCAGAGUGGAAGAAGGGACUGUCCUGCCUUGCUUUAAUCCCAGUGUUUCCCAAAGAAGUAAUGACAGGCUCUGGUUGUCGACCCUCUCUAUCGUCAUCAGAUCCUGAACCAAGUGCUUCUGAAACUCUAGUUCCCAUAAAUAAAUUAUUACUAUGAAAUUGCAAAUUCUAAUUACUAAAAAAGAGAAGAACCCUAAACUUCCCUGAGUUAUUGAAGAACUUGGCCAAAUAAGCCAGAAAAGCUUUAAAAUGAGAUGAUAAAUAAAGCAAUAAAACUUACUCAGAAGAAAAC